GACGAACGCUGGCGGCGUGCUUAACACAUGCAAGUCGAACGGAAAGGCCCUGCUUUUGUGGGGUGCUCGAGUGGCGAACGGGUGAGUAACACGUGUGUAACCUGCCCUUGACUUUGGGAUAACUUCAGGAAACUGGGGCUAAUACCGGAUAGGAGCUCCUGCUGCAUGGUGGGGGUUGGAAAGUUUCGGCGGUUGGGGAUGGACUCGCGGCUUAUCAGCUUGUUGGUGGGGUAGUGGCUUACCAAGGCUUUGACGGGUAGCCGGCCUGAGAGGGUGACCGGCCACAUUGGGACUGAGAUACGGCCCAGACUCCUACGGGAGGCAGCAGUGGGGAAUAUUGCACAAUGGGCGGAAGCCUGAGGCAGCAACGCCGCGUGCGGGAUGACGGCCUUCGGGUUGUAAACCGCUUUCGCCUGUGACGAAGCGUGAGUGACGGUAAUGGGUAAAGAAGCACCGGCUAACUACGUG
rnacentral:rRNA from 1 species